rnacentral:rRNA from 1 species
CACACUAUCAUUAACUGAAUCCAUAGGUUAAUGAGGCGAACCGGGGGAACUGAAACAUCUAAGUACCCCGAGGAAAAGAAAUCAACCGAGAUUCCCCCAGUAGCGGCGAGCGAACGGGGAGCAGCCCAGAGCCUGAAUCAGUGUGUGUGUUAGUGGAAGCGUCUGGAAAGGCGCGCGAUACAGGGUGACAGCCCCGUACACAAAAAUGCACAUGCUGUGAGCUCGAUGAGUAGGGCGGGACACGUGGUAUCCUGUCUGAAUAUGGGGGGACCAUCCUCCAAGGCUAAAUACUCCUGACUGACCGAUAGUGAACCAGUACCGUGAGGGAAAGGCGAAAAGAACCCCGGCGAGGGGAGUGAAAAAGAACCUGAAACCGUGUACGUACAAGCAGUGGGAGCACGCUUAGGCGUGUGACUGCGUACCUUUUGUAUAAUGGGUCAGCGACUUAUAUUCUGUAGCAAGGUUAACCGAAUAGGGGAGCCGAAGGGAAACCGAGUCUUAACUGGGCGUUAAGUUGCAGGGUAUAGACCCGAAACCCGGUGAUCUAGCCAUGGGCAGGUUGAAGGUUGGGUAACACUAACUGGAGGACCGAACCGACUAAUGUUGAAAAAUUAGCGGAUGACUUGUGGCUGGGGGUGAAAGGCCAAUCAAACCGGGAGAUAGCUGGUUCUCCCCGAAAGCUAUUUAGGUAGCGCCUCGUGAAUUCAUCUCCGGGGGUAGAGCACUGUUUCGGCAAGGGGGUCAUCCCGACUUACCAACCCGAUGCAAACUGCGAAUACCGGAGAAUGUUAUCACGGGAGACACACGGCGGGUGCUAACGUCCGUCGUGAAGAGGGAAACAACCCAGACCGCCAGCUAAGGUCCCAAAGUCAUGGUUAAGUGGGAAACGAUGUGGGAAGGCCCAGACAGCCAGGAUGUUGGCUUAGAAGCAGCCAUCAUUUAAAGAAAGCGUAAUAGCUCACUGGUCGAGUCGGCCUGCGCGGAAGAUGUAACGGGGCUAAACCAUGCACCGAAGCUGCGGCAGCGACGCUUAUGCGUUGUUGGGUAGGGGAGCGUUCUGUAAGCCUGCGAAGGUGUGCUGUGAGGCAUGCUGGAGGUAUCAGAAGUGCGAAUGCUGACAUAAGUAACGAUAAAGCGGGUGAAAAGCCCGCUCGCCGGAAGACCAAGGGUUCCUGUCCAACGUUAAUCGGGGCAGGGUGAGUCGACCCCUAAGGCGAGGCCGAAAGGCGUAGUCGAUGGGAAACAGGUUAAUAUUCCUGUACUUGGUGUUACUGCGAAGGGGGGACGGAGAAGGCUAUGUUGGCCGGGCGACGGUUGUCCCGGUUUAAGCGUGUAGGCUGGUUUUCCAGGCAAAUCCGGAAAAUCAAGGCUGAGGCGUGAUGACGAGGCACUACGGUGCUGAAGCAACAAAUGCCCUGCUUCCAGGAAAAGCCUCUAAGCAUCAGGUAACAUCAAAUCGUACCCCAAACCGACACAGGUGGUCAGGUAGAGAAUACCAAGGCGCUUGAGAGAACUCGGGUGAAGGAACUAGGCAAAAUGGUGCCGUAACUUCGGGAGAAGGCACGCUGAUAUGUAGGUGAAGUCCCUCGCGGAUGGAGCUGAAAUCAGUCGAAGAUACCAGCUGGCUGCAACUGUUUAUUAAAAACACAGCACUGUGCAAACACGAAAGUGGACGUAUACGGUGUGACGCCUGCCCGGUGCCGGAAGGUUAAUUGAUGGGGUCAGCGCAAGCGAAGCUCUUGAUCGAAGCCCCGGUAAACGGCGGCCGUAACUAUAACGGUCCUAAGGUAGCGAAAUUCC